rnacentral:lncRNA from 1 species
UUCCAUAACUUUAAAACACACAUCUCACCUUCAACUCAUGAUAUGUACCAUUUCAUUUCAUCAUUCACCAUCACAACCUUUCCAAUUUGAAACUAUAUUAGAAAAAUCAAACAUAACUUCGAUCCAAAUCGUGCAAACCCUAAAGUCGUUAAACCAAAACACAAAAAGCAAACAUAAACACACCCACACUUCACCCUCUUGAGUUUUUCGUCGAUGGAAUCAUAAAUGGCGAUGCUAUAUCGAACUCGGUCUCUUCUAAUCAAAACCCAACUCAUAAUCAAAACCAUCUCAACAUUCCCAUAUCUCAAUCAAAAACCCAAACUUGUGAACCCCACACCAACGUCAUUUUCUCUUCCAUCAAAUUCAACUUCAGG